rnacentral:lncRNA from 1 species
ACCUCAGCAGGAGGAAGAAGGGGCCCGUGGCAUCAGACCAAUGCUGCAAGGUGUGUGAGGGAAGCAGAGGAGCCUCCCCCGUCACUGAGCUGCCAGACCCUGAAAGGAGGAUGGAGCUGGAGUGAAGUGGAAGGGCUGCCAGCUGCUGACCAGCACGUGGGACACUGGUGACUUGCAGAUCACAGAGGCUGGACCACGUUCAUGGCUCUCGGGUAG